CCUACGGGGUGCAGCAGUGGGGGAUAUUGCACAAUGGGGGGAACCCUGAUGCAGCGACGCCGCGUGAGCGAUGAAGUAUUUCGGUAUGUAAAGCUCUAUCAGCAGGGAAGAAAAUGACGGUACCUGACUAAGAAGCCCCGGCUAACUACGUGCCAGCAGCCGCGGUAAUACGUAGGGGGCAAGCGUUAUCCGGAUUUACUGGGUGUAAAGGGAGCGUAGACGGCUGUGCAAGCCAGAUGUGAAAGCCCGGGGCUCAACCCCGGGACUGCAUUUGGAACUGUGUGGCUGGAGUGUCGGAGAGGCAGGCGGAAUUCCUAGUGUAGCGGUGAAAUGCGUAGAUAUUAGGAGGAACACCAGUGGCGAAGGCGGCGUGCUGGACGAUGACUGACGUUGAGGCUCGAAAGCGUGGGGAGCAAACAGGAUUAGAUACCCUUGUAGUC
rnacentral:rRNA from 1 species